CCUACGGGGGGCAGCAGUGAGGAAUAUUGGGCAAUGGGGGCAACCCUGACCCAGCAACGCCGCGUGGAGGAUGACGGCCUUCGGGUUGUAAACUCCUUUUGUGGGGGAAGAGGGAGGACGGUACCCUGCGAAGAAGUCACGGCUAACUACGUGCCAGCAGCCGCGGUAAUACGUAGGUGACGAGCGUUAUCCGGAAUUACUGGGCGUAAAGCGCACGCAGGCGGCUGGUUAAGUUUGGCGUGAAAUCUCUCGGCUCAACUGGGAGGGCGCGUCGAAGACU
rnacentral:rRNA from 1 species